rnacentral:rRNA from 1 species
UUGAACGCUGGCGGCAGGCCUAACACAUGCAAGUCGAGCGGAUGAAGGGAGCUUGCUCCUGGAUUCAGCGGCGGACGGGUGAGUAAUGCCUAGGAAUCUGCCUGGUAGUGGGGGAUAACGUCCGGAAACGGGCGCUAAUACCGCAUACGUCCUGAGGGAGAAAGUGGGGGAUCUUCGGACCUCACGCUAUCAGAUGAGCCUAGGUCGGAUUAGCUAGUUGGUGGGGUAAAGGCCUACCAAGGCGACGAUCCGUAACUGGUCUGAGAGGAUGAUCAGUCACACUGGAACUGAGACACGGUCCAGACUCCUACGGGAGGCAGCAGUGGGGAAUAUUGGACCAAGGGCGGAAGCCUGAUCCAGCCAUGCCGCGUGUGUGAAGAAGGUCUUCGGAUUGUAAAGCACUUUAAGUUGGGAGGAAGGGCAGUAAGUUAAUACCUUGCUGUUUUGACGUUACCAACAGAAUAAGCACCGGCUAACUUCGUG